UGCACCCUUUUGAUUCUCGAUCUUAAUUUUCAAAUUUUUCUUUAGGAUGGCUUAGAGUUGGAUUUGUUGAAAAUACUUGGGAUCUAGAGAGUUCCGUCUAGAGGUUCCAUUUGAGAUUGCCUAUUUUGGAGGUUAUUUAGCCCCAUUUUUUUUUCUCUUGAUUUUGAUUUGAAAUUGAUUCUCGAUCUCAAUUUUCAAGAUUUUCUUUAGGAUGCUUUAGAGUUGGAUUUGUUGAAAAUAUUUGGGAUCUAGAGAGUUACUUCUCGAGGUUUCAUUUAAUAUUUCUUAUUCUGGAGUUGAUCGAGACCCAUUUUUUUCUUUUUUUUGCUUCGCAAUUAAUUUCUCUAUCACAUUUCCUUGCAACUCUUAACCUUUUUUUGGUGUUUUUUCUUGUUGUAUUUCUAUUUGUUUGUUUCUUCUUAUUCAUUUGUUUAUUUCUCCAUGUUGAUUCCCAAUCUCGUUUUUCAAGCUCUUCUUUAGGUUGUUUUAAAGUGGAUUUGUUAAAAAUAUUUGGAAUUUGGAGAGUUUCAUUUAGAGGUUCUAUUUGAAGCUGAUCUAGAAUCCUCUAAUUUUUUCUUGAUACUGGUUAGCAAUUAAGUCCUCUAUUCACAUUUUUUCGUGCCAGCUAUGAUUCAUUUUCGAUGAUGUUCUCUUUGGGAUGCUUGGUUAGCAAUUAAUUCCUCUACUCACAUUUUCCCCUAGCUGCUACGAUUCGUUGUUGAUGUUGUUCUCCCCGUGAUGCCUGGACGCUUUAGAGUUGGAUCUACUGAAAAUAUUUGGGAUCUCGAGAGUUUCGUGUAGACGUUCCAUUUGAGAUUUCCUAUUUUGUAGCUGAUUUAGCCUCCUGUUUUUUUUUUAAAUUCUGGUUGAUUGUGUUUUGUUCGGUUAGCUCGGAAUUCAGAUAUGGCAAUCUUGAUUUUCAAAGGUUUCACUUGUAUUCUUGACUUCCAACAAGUAUAUAUUUCCCCCCUUUCUCUUGCCAUUUUAAGAUAUUA